UUUAAAUCAUAUCUCUGACACAAUAAGCAAGGUGCAAAGACAAUAAGCAAGGUUGUUCAGUGAGGUCUAUUGUGUAAUACACUGUUGAAGUAGGUCUUAAGUAGGUUUUUUUUUUUUAACUAGGUGGUCCAUGAGGUUAUUUUUGACUCGUUAAGUGGUCCUUGGUAUGAACAAGUUUGAGAAACACUGAUGUAGAUAACACUACUAUACGUGGGGAACACUUCUUACUUCAAUUUCCCAAACAAUUCCCUGUAGUGUUGUCCAUGGGUACUUACAGAGCUCACAGGAAGUGAGAAUUCAUCUCUCUGGUGAGAAACUGGAAUGCAGCCACAUCUGGCCAUAUAAUGGAGUCAGCUUUUAAAAUGUCAGACGGAAAUGUAUGAUCAUCUGUCCCUAUUUGCACCCAGUCUUUAUACACAGACACACUCUUUCCCAAACAUGCACACGCAUGUACGCACAGAUAUUACCAAUGUACUGCACAUACACCCUCUGUCUCUCUCUUUCUAUCUCACGUGCACACACACAUACAGUACACACACACACACAAACACACCCACAAACACACAUAGACACACACAAAAACCCCAGGCAAUUUCAGCAAAAUGCAUUUACUGUAUUGUAAACGAUGAAAAUUUCUCCUGGAGCUAUAUGAGUUGCCUUGAACAGUGUUUUCCAUUUUUUGUUGUUGUAGUGUUUAAUGACUGCUCAGUGCAGUGUUUUCAUUUUGACUGCUUUGUGAGAUGAUCUGAAGACAGAGAAAAGGUCAGAGGUUUUGAGAAUUAGAGAUUUGGGGUUUUGUGUUUACCGGUAGUUUUGAGAGGCUAUGUGUGUGUGCAUGCAUGCGUGUGUGUGUUUGUGUGUGUGUGUGUGUGUAGAGGGUCAAUCAAAUUCUAUGAUCGCCACCGAUGUGAAUGAUAACACAAUAUUCAAUAUUACUGAUGGCGUCAAGGUGGUGGGGGAUUGAGUAUUAAAGUAUUGAAAUCGAGAUUCUUCACUUUGUAUUAUUGAAACAAUAAUUUUGGUAUCAUGACAGAGUUGGGGGUGUGUCCCCACAAAAGCUGAGACCAAACCUACUGUACGCCCUGGCAACACCUCACCACUGCAACACUCUUUUACCACCUCAGCUCAUACCCACAUUUUUAACAUGCGGAGAGUUACUCAAGGAACGGCAGUCCCUCCUCAACUCCCUCCACACCAGCCCUCAACAUACAGAGAAUAGAGGAACUUUG